AACGAACGCUGGCGGCAGGCCUAACACAUGCAAGUCGAACGCCCUAGCAAUAGGGAGUGGCAGACGGGUGAGUAACACGUGGGAACCUUCCCUAUAGUACGGAAUAGCCCAGGGAAACUUGGAGUAAUACCGUAUAAGCCCGAGAGGGGAAAGAUUUAUCGCUAUAGGAUGGGCCCGCGUCGGAUUAGCUAGUUGGUGAGGUAAUGGCUCACCAAGGCGACGAUCCGUAGCUGGUUUGAGAGAACGACCAGCCACACUGGGACUGAGACACGGCCCAGACUCCUACGGGAGGCAGCAGUGGGGAAUAUUGGACAAUGGGCGAAAGCCUGAUCCAGCCAUGCCGCGUGAGUGAUGAAGGCCUUAGGGUUGUAAAGCUCUUUUGUCGGGGACGAUAAUGACGGUACCCGAAGAAUAAGCUCCGGCUAACUUCGUG
rnacentral:rRNA from 1 species